rnacentral:misc_RNA from 1 species
GUUGGCUUAUUGGAUCAUCUACUCCUUUCUCACUCUCAUGGAGAUGGUUCUUCAACCUCUAUUAGAGUGGAUACCAAUUUGGUAUUCGGUGAAAUUGGUAUUUGUGGCGUGGUUGGUUCUGCCACAGUUCAAAGGUGCAGCUUUCUUGUAUGAAAGAUUCGUGAGGCAUCAUAUUAAGAAAUAUGGUGUAGGAAGUAAUUCUGCUGAUGCCAAAGCCAAG